rnacentral:rRNA from 1 species
UUGGGAUUCGAUUUAAGCCAUGCAAGUCGAAUGGACCCUAUUUCCUGGCCAUCCGGCUUCAGUAACACGUGGAUAACUUCCCCCUUAGGACCGGGAUAGCUUUGGGAAACUGAAGAUAAUACUGGGAUUUUAGGUUAUGCCUGGAAUGGUUUCCCUUUGAAAUUGUAUUUUUCCGCCUAAAGGAUAGAUUUGCGGUUUGAUUAGGUCGUUGGUGGGGUAAUGGCCCACCAAGCCGAUGAUCGUUACGGGUUGUGAGAGCAAGAGCCCGGAGAUGGAACCUGAGACANGGUUCCAGACCCCUACGGGGUGCAGCAGGCGCGAAACCUUCCGCAAUGUACGCAAGUGCGACGGGGGGAUCCCAAGUGUUAUUCUUAACAGAAUAACUUUUCAUUAGUGUAAAAAGCUUUUAGAAUAAGAGCUGGGCAAGACCGGUGCCAGCCGCCGCGGUAACACCGGCAGCUCAAGUGGUAGCUGUUUUUAUUGGGCCUAAAGCGUUCGUAGCCGGUUUGAUUAGUCUUUGGUGAAAGCUUGUAGCUUAACUAUCAGAAUUGCUGAUGAUACUGUCAGACUUGAAGUCUGGAGAGGUUAGAGGUACUACCGGGGUAGGGGUGAAAUCCUAUAAUCCUGGGAGGACCACCUUUGGCGAAGGCGUCUAACUGGAACGAUCUUGACGGUGAGUAACGAAAGCCAGGGGCGCGAACCGGAAUUAGAUAUCCGGGUAGUCGUGGCCGUAAACGAUGUGGACUUGGUGUUGGGAUGGCCUCGAGUUGUUCUGGUGCCGAAGGGAAGCUGGUUAAGUCCACUGCCUGGGAAGUUCGGUCGCCAGACUGAAAUUUAAAGGCAUUGGCGGGGGAGGACCACAACACGUGGAGCCUGGGGUUUAAUUGGAUUCAACGCCGAGACAUCUCCACUAGAGCGACAGCAGAAUGAUAAUCAGGUUGAUGAGCGUUAUUUGACUUAGCUGAGAGGAGGUGCAUGGCCGGCGUCAGUCGUACUGUGAAAGCGUCCUGUUAAGU